rnacentral:sRNA from 1 species
CUUAACAGCACUUACCUUCACCAGAUUGGGUGUAUUGGGAUACUUGUUUUCUGAAAAUGUGCAGGAUAAUGGUGAUGUUAAUUUAGUAUCAUAUCUAUUUACGGUGAAAAUACCCCGGCUUUGCACGGCUUAAAGGUACAGAUAAGCUUACCACCCAGAUAACUUGUACGGAGCAUCAGAUUGAGACGUCCAUAGCGUCUGCCCAAGCCGUAAGCUGUGUUGGCGAAAUUAAUGUGCAAUCCGGUCAAUAUGAAAUAGAGGCUGUAGAAGGGCCGAGCAGUAUGCCAAUCACCACAAGCGAUAUGCUGG